AACUUUCGGCAACGGAUCACUUGGCUCUCGCAUCGAUGAAUAACGCAGCGAAAUGCGAUAAGUAAUGUGAAUUGCAGAAUUCAGUGAAUCAUCGAAUCUUUGAACGCAUCUUGCGCUCCUUGGUAUUCCGAGGAGCAUGCCUGGUUGAGUGUCAUUCAACUUCUCAACCACAUUCGUUCAUUGAUUGUGGCUUGGAUGGUGGGGGUUUAUUUGCAGGCUUCUUCUGUGAAAACAGAAAGGUCGGCUCCCCUGAAAUGUAUCAGUGGUAUCUGAGGCUAUUGCUAUAGGUGUGAUAAUUAUCUAUGCCCUUGGUAUGCCGCAUGGAACUGCUUCCAACAGAGAUGAUCUUUUUGAUGAAUUUGACCUCAAAUCAGGUAGGACUACCCGCUGAACUUAAGCAUAUCAAUAAGCGGAGG
rnacentral:misc_RNA from 1 species